AAAAAGAAACAACAACAAAAAGACACAACAAAAACUUACUUUAUUGUUAUUCCACCUCCUAACAUGCUAACAGUCCUGUCGUUCAUGAUGCUCAGGGUCUCUAACGAGGCGCAGACACCUCUGCUAACUCUCAGGAAGACAAUUUCCGUACUUUUUCUGGUCAAUUGAAGCAUGGCGUUGGCAGCGUUACUCUUUGCCAGUGGUUCAGAUACAGUUCUGUUAUGUAUUGAUACAAAAUACAAAGUGUUUGGAGUCAAAAACUACGAUUAUAGUGAACAGAUUACAAGAAAGUCUGGCUGCAUAUAAGGAAAAACUGAAGAAACGAGGCAAAUGAAACCUACUUCCAGCUCACAAAGCGAGAAGCGGAAGUGUUUGCUCAUCAGAGAUUUAACCCGACUGCUAGGUAAGCACACCGCUGAACUUCAUAAACUCCUUCCUCUCCUCUGGAUUAAAGGUUUCUUAAUAUCAGGCCAGCAGAAAGUUCAGGCUCCCGUCUAAUAAAUGUGUCUGCAGAGAACUAAAAGCUGAGGGAAAGUCAAUAAAUAAAACGGCUGACGGCAAGCUCAGGGCUCUCCAGAUGUCGUCCCCUGCUCCUCUGGCAGCGUUGCAGGCGACACAUCAGCGAAGGAGGUUUUUAUCAUCUCCGAGAUGAGACGCUUCGUGAUGCGUAUCAGGACUUAAAAAGGUUCACUAAUCAGCGAUUCUCCAACAGCGGCCGACUCUGGAGACGGACAAGAAUGACUUUUGAAAAGAACUGCAGCGAAUCUAAUCCGCAAAGUGCAGAGAGCCCAUAACAGGCUGGAUUUCAGGAAGAUACGGGAAUAUGGUAGAACAGAAUUCAGAGCUUCUCAGACAGUAACUUCAUGAGAGCAGAUCACAACGGAGACUCCUGAUUGACUCCAAAAGAUCAGUACUGAAGAAGCUGUAUUAAUGGAAAGUUUAGUAGAAGGAUGAACUAGUGAAAUAAUUCUAGAGUUUGGGGUGAUUCACAUUAAAUACACUGUAGCUUGAGUUGGUUUAUUCAAGCUGCCUAAGGUCCAGUG